rnacentral:lncRNA from 1 species
GAGUAGCUGGGACUACAGGCGCCCACCACCACGCCUGGCUAAUUUUUUGUAUUUUUAGUAGAGACGGGGGUUUCACCGUGUUAGCCAGGAUGGUCUCGAUCUCCUGACCUCGUGAUCUGCCCGCCUUGGUCUCCCAAAGUGCUGGGAUUACAGGCAUGAGCCACUGCGCCCGGCCUGCUCUCUGUUCUUAAGCUUGUAAAUAACAAAACCAGGAGAUGUGGGCUGAACGGUUUAGUGUAGUGAUCAACAGCAGCAUAAUCGCGGUGCCCAAGUACUGCUAAGUGCUAAGCAUGGAGUGAAUCCUCACAACCACGGGCAGCGCACAGAUGAGCAAACAGGAUCAGGACAAUGAAGUGUUUAUAGCCAAGUAAUUCCAACCUCUUAGCCAAGACCAGAGCUAAAAGGGCACCUUCAUCACACCGCCGACGUUGACCCCAGGCUGACAAAUGUGACCUGCUUCCGUUGGUCUUUGAAUCCUCAUUUCUAUUUGCUUUUCAACUUUAUUGUAUAUAUCUUUUAUGUAACUUACUUCAAGUUAUUUUGUAGGGAAAUGUGUAAAAAACCCCUGCUUUUUGGGAUCAUGAAAAUAUUUCAAAGUUAGAUUAUGGUGAUGGUUGCCCAACUUUGUAAAUAUACUAAAGAUCGUUCAAUGGUACGCUUUAAACGGAUGAACUUAAUGGUAUAUAAAUUAUCUCAAUAAAACGAUUUGAAAAAA